rnacentral:rRNA from 1 species
AAAUUGAAGAGUUUGAUCAUGGCUCAGAUUGAACGCUGGCGGCAGGCCUAACACAUGCAAGUCGAACGGUAACAGGAAGCAGCUURCUGCUUCGCUGACGAGUGGCGGACGGGUGAGUAAUGUCUGGGAAACUGCCUGAUGGAGGGGGAUAACUACUGGAAACGGUGGCUAAUACCGCAUAACGUCGCAAGACCAAAGAGGGGGACCUUCGGGCCUCUURCCAUCAGAUGUGCCCAGAUGGGAUUAGCUGGUUGGUGAGGUAACGGCUCACCAAGGCGACGAUCCCUAGCUGGUCUGAGAGGAUGACCAGCCACACUGGAACUGAGACACGGUCCAGACUCCUACGGGAGGCAGCAGUGGGGAAUAUUGCACAAUGGGCGCAAGCCUGAUGCAGCCAUGCCGCGUGUAUGAAGAAGGCCUUCGGGUUGUAAAGUACUUUCAGCGGGGAGGAAGGUGUUGUGGUUAAUAACCGCAGCAAUUGACGUUACCCGCAGAAGAA